rnacentral:misc_RNA from 1 species
GAAUAUUAUCUGUGUUUUCUUGAUUGAUAUUUUGAUAUACUUUUUCUUUUCCUGCAUACAAACUUUCCAUUUCCACCUCAACCCAACUACAACCUUCAAAGGGAAAGAGAAAAAUCUAAAUUACAAAGUAGGUCGAUUUACUAAAAGUAUCCUUAAUCUAAGCUGAAGUAAUAGCAACAGAAGAAGUGGGCAACUGAAUUUGAGCUUUACUUUGAGUUUCAGCGCCAUUGGCAUUGGCUUUGGCUUUGGCAUUAGCAUCCUUCAAUUUGGCCUCCUUCAAAGCAGACCUCCACUUAAUAAAAUGACCAAAAAGGAUCUCCAUAUCCUCCAAUGUCCUCCCCUGCGUCUCGGGUAAACAUGUGAAAAAGAACGUCCAUGCCACCGCUGCUAUUGCCGCGAAUAAGAAAAACGCCCCACCUAUUGUUAUGCCUUUGUACAACGAUAUAAAAGUCGUUGAUAUCACCCCACUCGUUACCCUGUUUACUGCCACUCCCAUACUCGCUCCCUGCGCGCGUAGCCUCAACGGGAAUAUCUCUGAGCUGUAUACCCAGGUUAUGGGUCCCAUCCCUAUUGAGAAGGUCGCUACGUACAAUAAUACCAUAGCUAUGCACAGUGCAAUCGCCCAUGUUAGCUUCUCGUGCGAAUGAUCUAUUAUGGUCAACGCAAAUCCAAGGGUUGCUAAUGAAAAUAUCAUCCCUCCUACGCUACUUAGAAGCAAUGGUCUCCGUCCGAUCCUGUCAAGCAAAAAUGUCGCCACUAAGAUGAAGACCGUCUUCACGAAUCCAACGGCUACUGUAGCGAGUAACUUAUCGUUGUCUGAUGUGAUCCCAGCCUUUUCGAAGAUUCUGGGGCUGUAUAAAACGACAGCGUCUAUACCAGACGCUUGAUGGAAGAAAUGCAUGCCGAUUACGCAUGCUAAGAUAUGACGAACUGACGGUGUAGGAUGAAGGAAUAAUUCUCGCCAUACACCUUCUCCGUGGGAUUUUUUUUCCACUUGAACGACGUCGUCAUUGCAGUCUUGAGGAAUUCCUGCUGCUGCUUUUAUAUCGGCUAGCCUUGCUUGAGCUUCUUCUUUAGAAUCAGAGGUCCUGUCCAGAACUCGCUUGGCGUCACCGAGUCUACCCUGGAGGACGAGCCAACGCGGUGACUCGGGCAUGGCUAGAACUAUCACAGCAAGGAUAACAGAAGGGAUUGCACCAAUUCCAAGCAUGAAUCUCCACCCCAAGUGAGCUGGGAGCUUGGAAAAUGCAAAAUUAGAGACGUAGCCUAACAAAAUCCCUGCAUUGAUGAAGAACUGUAAUUGGAAAAAAAAAAAAAAGUCAUGCAAAUUGUUUUUCUUAACAAAUGAGCUUUGGCUAUGUUGAGUAAUACUAAUCAAAAUUGGAAGUUCUGAAAUUCAAAAUCUAACGGUCUAGGGAUGGCAAUGAAUUGGAAAUUUUCGGGUGCCUGAUCUAACUGAACCUCUUAGAAUGGGUUUGCAGAUAUUAAAAAUAUUAAUUAUAUUAAGUUCGUAUAAAAUAAUUUUUGCGAGAAUUUUACAAUCCCUAGCUAAAUCAAGAGGAAAAAAAAUUCCAAAAAGGUGCGUAUACGUACGUCUGGGAGUGAGGUGAGGAACCCACGAGAGGAUGCUGGAGAGACCUCGGCUGUGUAAACUGGAGCAAUCAUCAGUCCAUAGCCUACCCCGACACCCGCCACGAACCGGCCAACCAUGAGGAAGGCAUAGUUGGUGGCGAAUCCCAUUAGGAGAGCUCCGACGAAGAAAAUACCUCCAGCCACUACGAUGGUGUACCGGCGGCCAAUCCAGUCGGAGGUCCGGCCAGCUGCGGCUGAGCCCACAAGUGAGUAUAUGUUAAGCAUACCCACCAGGAUUUCUACUUGAGUAUCUGAGAUUUUCAGUUGGUCCUUGAUGUAGAUAGCUGCUCCACUCAUUACUCCAAUAUCUACCAACCAAGAAAUUCACAAACUAUAUUUUUCUCGAGAAAAAUUCCAUGUAUCAUAUUUUAUUUUCAGUGGAAACAGAUGAGAAAUUAACCGAUAUACAUUUCUUUCUUCUCUCUCUAGUGAAAUAAACGCAUAAACAGCGAAGAGAGUACUUUACUUUGCUAUAGUGAUAAACAAUUAAUGGUCUAAAAGAAUAAAUUACUCACCAUAACCAAGUAAAAUUGAAGUCGUGGAAGCCAAGAUUGCACAAACAAGAGCAAACUUGUUUCUCUUGGGCUUCUUCGGAGGAUCAAAAUCUGCAAGUGUUUUCUCUGCAGGUUGGCUGCUGGGAUUGACAUCCCUCUCUGCAUUUAGAUCCGCCAUCUCUCUGCACCUCAACAGCAAGAGAGCAAGUGAGAGAGAGAGGGAGAUAGAUUUAAAAGUGGUGUUUAGGGU